rnacentral:lncRNA from 1 species
UACCCAUGUACAGAUGACUUGCUUCGGCAGUCAAACCCAUUGUUUGAGCCUCACUUGACUGGUUAUAGUGUGUGCUAUGUGAAUAUUUGCUUGAAAUGCUUGUUUUGAUCUGUAUGCUUGUAUGCUUGCUUUCUUCCUGGAUAGGAUUAGCUUGCAGUUGUGCAAGUAGGUAGAAACCUGAACAUAGGGUAAUGAUGCAUGACAACACUAGGCUCGAGUCCAGCUCCCUGGUAGUGUGUCUUCCCUUGGUUUCUGGCUAGAUUUUCUUUCCCUUGAGGGGGAACUACAUCGCCCUGAUCCUCGUUCCAGACGAGGUAUGUAGGCAGGAGGUCGUGCGAGACCUCUCCGGGCAC